AAGGCAACAUGAUUAAUACAAAAAGGAACCCUAAAUUUCAGGCAUUUACAUCUUGUUCCAAAUGGAAUCAUAUAGUAAUAGGAAAUUGAUUAGUAAUAGGAGAGUCAACAAAUCUUAAACAACUAUUUUAUAUUGGAAUAAUUAUUAAAAAAAAGACUACCUAAAAACCUCAACAAUUUGCAGAAGUGUGUUUCCACAAAGCAGUGCUAUAGUAAAUUGUUAUAUAUUUAUUGUAUAAUAUUUGAAAAAUUCAGUAGUGCACAAUGUAUUAAAACUUACAUCACAUGCAUUCAGUACACCACUUGCUCUUUUGCUCCACAGUCCACGCACAUAAAGAAUAAAAUCCCUGCUUACCUAAACUACAACACACUGAUAUUACAUGAUAAACACACUACAGACAGGGUCGGAUUGAAACAAAUUUAUAGUAAAAAUUGCAACUAAAUAUAUCCACAUCAGUUCAUCAGAUCUAAUAUAUUUAGAUCAGAUCUAAUAUAUUCAGAGAUCCAGGCCACAAAAUUAAUACGUGUUUGAAUUGUGUUUUGUGUAUUUCAAAAACAUGUAUGGCGAAGAAGGCAAACAAAGUUUUACAAAUAAAGGGUUUUUUUUAAAUAUUACUGAAUGUUUCUUUGGUUUCGCCAACUCGAAGCUUAGAAGGUAGUCCUAUACUGAAAUUAUCAAGAUCUGAUAGGUGAAUCAGUACAGCCAUAUGCAUCAAAUACCGUUGUUCUAGCUCCUUCUCUCUCAAAGCAGAUAGCUGUGCUGGUAUUUCAGCUGUCUCAACAGGUUCAGCAUUUGGUCUUCUAACAUGAUUUUUCAGUGAAAAUAUUGGAAACGUAUUAUCAAUUGUAGCAUCAUUGUUGCCUGUUGUCUGCAAAAAUGAUUCCCACCAUCCUUGUGCUGUUGAGGUCAUUACAGAAAACCAUUUUUGCAUGUCAACUGCAAGCUUAGGUUUGCAGUUGAUUUGCAGACUCUUCGAAGAUUUGGUACAUCAGUUUUGGAUUGAUCCAUACCAUCCAAUAUGAUUGUUAGAUACUUUGAAGGACUCCGCCGUGCUUUGUACCGAUGAAGAUGAUAUUUUCUUCGUUCAUUCCUGAAGGGCUGUUGUCUGGUGAUGGGCUAGCAGGCGAUGAGUUUCCUUCGAGUGUUGAGUAGGAUCGCAGAGACAGUGGAGAAGUCAUAAAAAUACGAGGAGUGUUGGCGACUAGCAGAAAAUGGAGAACAAAAUAAAUUAUUACAACGCUUGUCCAAAUACAGUUGAUUUUCGUUCGAGGGGCAGAUGGCAA